rnacentral:lncRNA from 1 species
AGAGAUGUGUGGAAACCUAGAAUCAAAUUGAUUGGAAAUUUUGGUUUCCGAUCCUGUUUUUCGUUAAAAUAACAACCCAGUACAACGCCCCAUUGAUGGGUGUAAACUUACUGUUUGAGGGCUGCCAUUUCUUUAAAAUCAUCUAUCUAUCUAUUUCUAUUCUACUUUUACCAACCCGAAUAAAUUCAUAUCAAUAGUACUAGACUACUAGCCUAUGAAGCAUCUACACAUGUAUGCUAAAGAAGAGCCUUUGAUUCAUGAAAUGCCCACAUUUCGAAUGUAACUUUUCAACCAAAAAUAAAAUCCUACAUGCACGAAUUGUCAAAAUCAAUCUAAAAAAACUCAUAAUGACUCAACAACAUUGCAAUAAUUCGUCCACGUAGUCUGAUCAUCACAUUAAUACAACUGCGCUAAUACAGCAAAUCAACUUACUUGCUGUUGCGGGUUUCCAUAGGCAGGAUAACCCUCAUAACGUGCAGCAGCAUAUGCAUUAGGAUCCUGAGAUGGCGGUGCAGGAUAACCAUAUCCUCCCUCACAAGAUUGUCCUCCGUAGUACGCCUCAUUCCAUUGGUUUACCAGAAUCUGCUCUUGACUAUAAGAACAACAAGAGAUCAGUGAUAAUUACAUAUUGAAAAUCAAGAUAAAAGGCAGUAUUUUCAAGUUUAGGAAUAAUAUUGCAGAACAGCUGGCAACAUAUAUUAACCAUCUGAGUAAUCCAUUCAAAGACAAAUAGCUUUUCAGUAGGACUGCUAGGUUUUAAAUUGCUUGUCAAGCAUGACUACCUGCUUUUUUACAGGAUUGCGGCCCCAAGAGAGUUGAACUGUUUGCUCGCCAAUAACUGUACCAUUCAAAUUUUGGAUAGCCUCCUCAGCAGUGUUUCUGCAAAUACGUACAAAAAGUGAUUCAAUAAGAUAUCUGUUAUGAGUGAAGGUGGGAUAACUGGAUAAGUGCAGAAGAGUCAAGUGCUGAUAUGUGCUAAACUACAUGCAUAUGAAGAAAAUUACAAUUGCCAGGUAUACCUAUUUGCAAACUGUACGAGCCCACAUCCUUUCCCAACUAGUAUUUUUACUGAUACAAUCUCAGCCAUAUUGAGAAAAUGAUUGCCUGAGAUCUUCGUCAGUGACACUGGGAUCGAGACCUCCCAAAAGAAUCAGCAAUAAAACAUUGUUUCAUCUCAGCAAAUAUAGUAGACAACAACAUAUACCAUAGGAAUUGAGAAAGGAGUAUAUUAACUAUUGUUUUGUUGAAUCCUAUCAGACUGAGCAGAAGCACCAUUUGAAGAAAUCAAAAUAAGACGGUGUUUGUGCAUAACUAGCCACAUGAAAAUGAUUGGUCUCUGUAGCUUGUUUUUGUGACUACCACAUACUUCAACUGGCCAUACAUUAAAUCUUCUAGCAUUGUGUAUCACAUAACAUAUGAAGACAUACAAAUUUUAACUGGCACUACUCUCUGCCAGGGCUUCUCACCAUUUCCAUGAUGGUGUUGUAUGGAAAGGUAAGACCUUCAAAAGAAAAUUAAUUUAUAGUAAACAUAAUUGAAAAUGCGGCCAUAGUCAUUGCAUCCUUUUAUCAGUCAAGAUGAGUCCAACUACCAAGAAUAUAUAGACUUGAUAGGAGUCAUAGGACACGGUGGCCUACAGAUAAUAAACACAAACCAAGGAGAACAACAGAACAGAAGGAAAGAAGAACAUGGCAACAGAGUAACAGACUAAAAGCAAAGAGAUGACUGGAGUACUUAUAUUUUACAUGAGCAUCGAAGAAAGAAUCUCUAGCAAGACAUACUGAAAGAAAAAAAAAAACUCAAGUUGCUUCACUCAAUUGUUUACAUACAUGUUGAACCCCAUUGUCUGCCAUCUCACCAUUCAGUACUUUGAGAAAUACAUAACUAAAUGUAUGGUAUGAGUACUUUAAAUAAACAAUAAGUGCAAAGCUAGGAGAAUACAUUUCCAUACCUAGCUUGUGAGGAAUACUGUUGUUGAUAUCCACAAGCCUUCCUGGGGGUCGCCACACCUAUACGCAUGGCCCUCCAAGAACAGAAUACACCAUUCAUUUCAUUUAUGGCUCGUGACCGUUCAUUGUCAUCACCAAGCCUCACAAAGCCAUAACCUUUGGAACACUCAGUAUUUGCAUCAAUAACUUUUUGCCCUUUUACAGACUGAUAUCUACUGGCAAAUGUGUCUUGCAACAAUGUACCAACACGUCUCGAGCCAAAUCCCCUACAAAUAUAGAGUGGUCUGAACCAACCUCCGAACGCAUUUCACUGGAUGUGGACAACUUUCUCGUCAUUAAGGUUGUUCUCAUCUCAUACCUCUGUUCAAUAACUAUAUCAACUUCGAUUGUCCUCUGUUUUUAUAGUUAACGCAAGAAUUUCAGUACCAUUUAAGCACAAUCAAAUACUAUCAUAAAUAUAAUUCCAGAAUCCAGAUCCACAAUCUGUAUUGCACGCAUGUUUCAUUUCAACUUGUUUUAAAAUACACAAUCUGGUGAAGGCACAAAAUAAGGGCUUCUUCUUAAAUGUCUUUAACCCUUUCUUGUCAAUACCUUGCAUGGAAGUUUUGGGAUUCUUCUUAAAAUGGCUUCUUCUUAAAAAGAAAUCUUGAACUAAGAGACACUAACUUUCCAAAGAAAUCUAUACAUAAUAUUAAGUGAUGCAUAUUUUAAUGUACUAGAACUUAUAAACCGUUAUACUGAAUUACAGUGUUCAUAAAAUCAUGCCUUAUGGUUCUCCGAACUCUGAUAGUAUUCGACAGGUAACCACUACGACUAAUGUAAUGCAGAGUGAAUUGAGGGGAGAAAUUAGACGGGUUUGAAUGAUGGAAUGUACUCUUUUCAGUCUAUGUUCAUUACAAUUCUUUUAUAUUCAUUACUCGUUUCUUUCACAAUCAACAUAUAAACAAUCAUAAAGCAAUGCAGACUUGAAGACACGAGCGCCACCCUCAAUAAAUAAAUAACUACAUAGACAUGAAAUUGAGAUCUGAACUAAUCUCACAUUCUCCUGACUCCUGCUAAAUAUCAAUCACAUUCAGAACACUUUCAUACAAAUAAUUUAUCCAACAAUAUUCAAAUCCACCAAUAUCUUAAUGCAAAAACACACUUUUAAUUAAUCAAAUAUGUAUACCAAUUCAAGCUAGGCAAACAAAUAACAUUACAAAACCCUAAACCUUAAACCCUAAUUGAAUUGGAAAAAAAGAAAGAAAAAAGGAUACAAAACCCUAACCUUGCCAGUUUGACUGAAGCAGCUAUUCAAGUAACUUUCAUCUAUCCAGUAAUGAAGAUCUCCAAUCCAAAUCUUUUUAUUCUGUUCAACUUGCGGGCAUUAGUCCUCCCUCCUUGUUGCUUAUGUUAAUGUUUGAUCUCAAAAGUUUCAUUUUAGAAGCAAGGAAAAUAAUACAGAGAAAUAUAAAGAGUGCCCCUUUAUUUUUUUUCAUGUAUGCAUGCUUGCAGGAUUGUAAAAGAAUAUAUAUAUUUAUGUUUUGUUUGGUUAUCAGUUCUACAGCAUACAAAUUACAUUGCUUAUACAAUUGCUUAUAUAUUUUUUAGUACUGUGGUUGUUACUUAUUAGUGUUAUUUUCUGGCAGUGCCUAAAGGUUAUUUGCUUUGAGAAACCUGACACAGAUCACAUCCUCAUGGCUUGAAUUUGAACUUGAAUGCUUAAAGCAUUGCAGGUAGCAGUUAGAUGUUGAAGCAUUUACUGUAGUUGAAACUGCUCUAGCAAUUUAUUCAUCUUUUCUGGUAAGAACCAGUCAACCAGCAAAACUAAUCUCGUCUUAGAGUAGAGCAUCGUUCUCUAACGGGGGCAAUGCAUAUUUUGCAGUACAGGUAGGAGCCAUGUAGGGAAAAGCAAAAAAAAAAUUAGAAUGCUCAAAACAUGUCAGAAAACAAAGUUUGAAACCAGCUAAGGCGUUAGGCAUUCUGCUCAGGCGCUGAGUAACACAACGAUCACUGGAACAUAAAAUAGUCCUACUUUACUAUAAACAGGUCCAUAUAUUUCUUUAUACAGAGCAACGAUCUGUUUCUCUCAUGCACGAUGUCACUAAGUGCACACCAUGUGACCUAGCGCUAGUCCUUUUAAUUGCUAAGAAAGCAAAUUUGUUAUUGGUGAAAGUGUAGAACAGAAUUUCAAUGAUGAUCUGGUUGAAAAUAGAAUGGGAGUUGGAUCACAAUGCAAAGGAAGAGGACACUACUAGGGCUACUUAGACAAACGUACAAAUCACAGUCAGACAACCUGUUAACCUGUUUUAAUAUUAACCCUUGAAUUUAUAUUGUACUUAAUGCGCUCUCCAUCAACACAUGUUGGCGAUAAAGCAAAUAACAUGCAACAAAAUGCUUCCGAAUCUAUUAUUAGGUUGCUUGAACCACAAGUCCACAACUUUUGAUGAGCAACCUAUAGGUACUUAGGUAGACAGAACAUAUCUAAUGUUAUCUUUGAACUUUGGUUACCAGACAUGCAGAGGAUGUUGGUAGUUGAAAGUCGAUAUCAUGAAAAUUACAUACAAAAGUUAGUAUGUGAGGCCAUAAGCAGGUAUCGAUCACUAAACGCAAACUUUAUUUCUCCAUUGGAUAUCAAAGAAUCAUUUGGUGAUUCAAUUGUUCUUCGUUCUACAAAUUGAUUAGUUUUGACUUUGGAGCAAUGCUAACUGGGUAUAAAUGUGGUCCAUGAUUCCCUACCGUCUAAAAUAAUUGCACUUUUCUUCUAUCUUACUGGCUAUUCCAUUCCAUACAAAAGUUGAUAACAAGAUCCAACAACUGAACGAAGGCCUAUGUACUCUACUGGUCUGCUGUCCGAUUAAUUCGGCUUUAUUUUAUGUAUGUUUGUACUGGUUAAUGAGAACAUGCAUAUUGAAUUUCCAUUUAAUUCCUGGCUCGACUCGAAGUAAUUUGUAUACAGAUUCAGAAAAAACUGUUGCCACACAAACACUAACUUACUCCUAACAUCUACUACUAUAUAUAUGCAUAUAUCACAGAACCUACAUAUCAGAGAAACGAUCAGUUUGAAGGCAAAUACACCGUUUUAGCAAUGGCCAACUGCAUUUCACAAAUAAUACAGUUUGGAGAAGAUGGCCUUGAACCUAUGAACCCAUCCUCACAAUGCCUUAACACUUCCUACCUCUCCCUUGGCAUCAUUGGAAUUGCUGAGUCUGAGAUACCCAUUGAUGUGGAUAAGAUUAUGCUACCUCUAAGGACCGAUCUCUUGCGAGUUAACCCGGCCUUUUCUUCCAUUGUAGUAUGGAAAAAUGGAAAACAAUGGUGGAAACAGGUCCAGGUCCGGUUCGAAGACCAUGUUAUUGUCCCUACUUUCCCUCAAGGUUUGUCACCAGAGUCUUACACCCAGUAUUUUGAAGAAUACUUAUCUAAGAUAUCCUUAGAUAAGCUUUCGGAAACCCGACCCUUAUGGGAGCUACAUAUUAUAAAGUACCCAACCAAAAGUGCAGCUGGUAUUCUAGCGUUCAAGAUGCACCAUGCACUGGGAGAUGGGUUUUCUAUAAUGGGAGCAUUAUUUUCAACGCUUAAAAGGGCAGAUAAUCCUUCUCUCCCUCUUACGUUUCCUUCUACCACUUCAAGAUCAAAGGAAAAGAAGAACAUCUGCAGGAGUGGCUUGAGCUUCGUUUCUGGGUGUUUCAAUACUAUUAACGAUAUUGCAACUAGUAUGAUGCACACAGCUUUGUUUGGAGACGGCCCAAGCGCCAUCCGGUCAGGUGCUCACUCGGUAGAAUGUUUACCAGUGCACACUACAAGGAUCACAUUCUCCCUUGAUGAUAUUAGCCAAGUUAGAACAAAGCUUGGUGUAGUAAGCUCUCUACCCCCAACCUCUUCUUUUAGUUUGUAAGUAUAAUUUUGGGCAAGGAUUUACUAAUUAGUUUUCUGUUUUCAACAGACUGUAAAUGAUGUGGUCAUCGGAAUUAUAUUUUAUGGCACUCAUUUAUACACCAAAUUGAUGGAUCAAACAAGCACUAAAUGUCGCAAAACUGCAUUGGUCUUAUUGAAUACGAGGAUGUUGAUUGGGUAUCAGAGUGUUGACGAAAUGCUAGAAAAAAAUAUGUGGGGCAACCAAUUUUCCUUCAUUCACUUACCACUACCUUCUUAUUCUGAUGGUCAAAAGGUUGAUCUGAAAGAGUUCAUUUUGAAAGCAAAGAAAGUAAUACAGAGAAGCAGAAGCUCAGUGGCCGUUCAUAUCAAUGGUAUGCUUAUAUCUCUGAUGGGAAGCCUGAGAGGGCCAGAGGUUAGUGAUGCUAAUUAAUUAUUGUGCCUGAAAUUUGAUUACUAUAACAAAUUCGAUAUAAAGAUUUAAUUGACUCAAAUAUUGCAGGCAGUAUCUAAGUAUGUGCACUCUGUUCUGAAGAAUACCAGCUUUGCUGUCUCGAAUUUAAUUGGACCAACAGAGAAAAUGGCCUAUGCUGAUCAUCCCAUCAGUAACAUCUAUUUCACUGUUACAGGUUCUCCCCAGGUAGUUUAAUAUGUCAAGUACUCUGCAUAUGUUUGAUUCUUAUAUAUGUGCCACUUAAUCUGGUAAUUAUUUUUAUCAUUGGCAGAGUCUUGCCUUUUUGGUAAUGAGUUAUGUAGGAAACUUGACAAUCGCAAUCUCAGGGGAGAAGGGGUUUAUUGAAUUACCACUGCUUGUUUCUUGCAUGAACGAAGCCUUCAAAGAGAUUCUUAAGGAAGCAUUGACAUAGGGUCAAGUUUUUCAGUUAGCUGUUAGGCUUUUUCAAAAACCAGAGAUGUGUGGAAACCUAGAAAAGUAGUGAUCGGAAAUUUAGGUUUCCAAUCCUGUUUUUCGACUCACAACCCAGUACGACAAGUUUGAUGGGUGUAGACUUAUAGUACUUUCUUUUCCAAUAUAGUAGUAAACCCUAAAAUGUAUGCAUUCUACCUUUUUCUUCUUUUAAAAAAAAAAAAGGCUUAGUUUGAUGGGUGUAGACUUAUAGUACUUUCUUUUCCAAUAUAGUAGUAAACCCUAAAAUGUAUGCAUUCUACCUUUUUCUUCUUAUCAAAAAAACAAAAAGGCUCCAAGCGCAUACAACAUUACUAUAACAAACUCUUCAUGUACAAAUUACUCCAACCUUCCAGCAACCAAACCAACUGAUCCUUAUUUGUGUGUGUGUGAUACGGUGAUCAACUCUGUACAUUAUUGUCCAAGGAUGUAAUGAACCAGUAUUGCACCAUUCAUGGCAAGGGCUACUAUAUCAACUUCAAUUUUUUGAGAUUUCAGAUUUCAUUUAUUCCCGAUAAAACCU